GACAGAGGGUGCAAACGUUGUUCGGAAUUACUGGGCGUAAAGCGUGUGUAGGCGGUCCUCUAAGUCGGAUGUGAAAUCCCUGGGCUCAACCCAGGAAGUGCACUCGAAACUGGAGGGCUAGAGUAUCGGAGAGGUUAGUGGAAUUCUCGGUGUAGAGGUGAAAUUCGUAGAUAUCGAGAGGAACACCGGUGGCGAAGGCGGCCAACUGGACGAAUACUGACGCUGAGACACGAAAGCGUGGGGAGCAAACAGG
rnacentral:rRNA from 1 species